AGAAAUUUAUAGUAAAGUAUGUUUGCUAGUCGCCUCCGUCCACGACACCAAAUGGUAGUUAGACGUUAAGCCCCGCCUGAAAAAAUAGGCGAUUACUUUUACUAAUAAAUAUUUCAGGCGGGGCUUAACGUCUAACUACCAUUUGGUGUCGUGGACGGAGGCGACUAGCAAAACAUACUUUACUAUAAAUUUCU
rnacentral:pre_miRNA from 1 species